rnacentral:siRNA from 1 species
CACGCAAAGGGCCCAUUUCCAUC